AUUCAGACCUUGGUGAGUGGCGGACGGGUGAGUAACACGUGGGUAACCCUGCCCCAAAAGUGGGGGAUAACAUCUGGAAACAGGUGCUAAUACCGCAUUAACAACUACUUUCACAUGAUCGUAGCUUGAAAGAUGGCUCUGCUAUCGCUUUUGGAUGGACCCGCGGCGUAUUAGCUAGAUGGUGAGGUAACGGCUCACCAUGGCAAUGAUACGUAGCCGACCUGAGAGGGUAAUCGGCCACGAUUGGGACGUAGAGACACGGCCCAAACUCC
rnacentral:rRNA from 1 species